rnacentral:rRNA from 1 species
AGGAUGAACGCUGGCGGUGUGCCUAAUACAUGCAAGUCGUGCGGAAAGGCCCUUCGGGGUACUCGAGCGGCGGACGGCUGAGUAACGCGUGGGAACGUGCCCCAAAGUGAGGGAUAACGCACCGAAAGGUGUGCUAAUACCGCAUAUGGUCUUCGGAUUAAAGUAUUUAUACGCUUUGGGAGCGGCCUGCGUACGAUUAGAUAGUUGGUGAGGUAAAGCUCACCAAGUCUACGAUCGUUAACUGGUCUGAGAGGAUGAUCAGUCAGACUGGAACUGAG